rnacentral:rRNA from 1 species
GACGAACGCUGGCGGCGUGCCUAAUACAUGCAAGUUGAGCGCUGAAGGUUGGAACUUGUACCGACUGGAUGAGCAGCGAACGGGUGAGUAACGCGUGGGGAAUCUGCCUUUGAGCGGGGGACAACAUUUGGAAACGAAUGCUAAUACCGCAUAAAAACUUUAAACACAAGUUUUAAGUUUGAAAGAUGCAAUUGCAUCACUCAAAGAUGAUCCCGCGUUGUAUUAGCUAGUUGGUGAGGUAAAGGCUCACCAAGGCGAUGAUACAUAGCCGACCUGAGAGGGUGAUCGGCCACAGUGGGACUGAGACACGGCCCAAACUCCUACGGGAGGCAGCAGUAGGGAAUCUUCGGCAAUGGACGAAAGUCUGACCGAGCAACGCCGCGUGAGUGAAGAAGGUUUUCGGAUCGUAAAACUCUGUUGGUAGAGAAGAACGUUGGUGAGAGUGGAAAGCUCAUCAAGUGACGGUAACUACCCAGAAAGGGACGGCUAACUACGUG